GAUGAAGAACGCAGCGAAAUGCGAUAAGUAGUGUGAAUUGCAGAAUUCAGUGAAUCAUCGAAUCUUUGAACGCACAUUGCGCCCCUUGGUAUUCCAUGGGGCAUGCCUGUUCGAGCGUCAUUUGUACCUUCAAGCUCUGCUUGGUGUUGGGUGUUUGUCUCGCCUCUGCGUGUAGACUCGCCUUAAAACAAUUGGCAGCCGGCGUAUUGAUUUCGGAGCGCAGUACAUCUCGCGCUUUGCACUCAUAACGACGACGUCCAAAAGUACAUUUUUACACUCUUGACCUCGGAUCAGGUAGGGAUACCCGCUGAACUUAAGCAUAUCAAUAGCGGAGGA
rnacentral:misc_RNA from 1 species